GACGAACGCUGGCGGCGUGCCUAAUACAUGCAAGUAGAACGCAGUUGCGAACGGGUGAGUAACGCGUAGGUAACUGCCUGGUAGCGGGGGAUAACUAUGGGAAACGAUAGCUAAUACCGCAUCCUACCAGAUGGACCUGCGUUGUAUUAUGUAGUUGGUGAGGUAACGGCUCACCAAGGCAACGAGACAUAGCCGACCUUAGAGGGUGAGCGGCCACAAUGGGACUGAGACACGGCCCAGCCUCCUAGGGGAGGCAGCAGGAGGGAAGCUGUGGCAAUGGGGGGAACCCUGACCGAGCAACGCCGCGUGCGUGAAGAAGGUUUUCGGAUCGUAAAGCUCUGGUGUUAAGGAAGCGGUACUUAACCAGAAAGGGACGGCUAACUACGUGCCAGCAGCCGCGGUAAUUC
rnacentral:rRNA from 1 species